rnacentral:lncRNA from 1 species
AUAACAUUUAUUCUCAUUUUUACAUUAUUUCCACAGCCCAUCCUGCCCAGAUCUUGGCUGGCUUCUUCAGCCCACCUGGGUUUUCAUUCUUGCCGGUCACAUUCCCGUCUACCAUAUGCUCCACGGAACUGUGCCUGUCACCCGCUUAGGAACAAGAGCUCUUGUUUUCUUCAGGAAGACGAUUAGGUCUUUUGAUGAAGAAAUUCCCACUAAGAGCAACGGUUUAAUGACACUCACCGUCAGCCCAUCAGCUCCUGUUUACCUUGCGCUCUCUCUGGGCCAGCGUCUGGACUCCUUCCCUCUGGUUAAUUUUUACUAUCACCUCCACGAGGAAUGAGAAACCAUUUUAAGAAUCCUUUCAUUAUCUGACUAAAUAUCAACAUUAUCAUCUGUGGUAAAAAGCUGUGUCGAUGUGAACACCUCCUCUCCAUGUGCCACCAUAUGCCCUCCUCACCUCCUGUGGAUCCAGGGAGGAAGUACAAAGGGAAGGAUGGGCACAGGCUCCAGAAAUUCAUCACCCAGACGACUCCAAGGACUGAGGAGUUCAGUUCUCAUUAGACUGAUGUUCUUCGGAUAAACUUUGGCUUGGGUCACCUCUUCAAAAACGUAUCAGAACUUUCCUCAGUCUUAUCUUUGUACCCUUGAGAAAUGUUUUGUUUCUUCUACCCGUUAUUUGGGAAUUUCUUUGGACUCCUAAUUAGUGAUGACUGGUCUAUAGGCAUACUCUAGAGACAAGAAGCUGUUCAAGAACCAUUCCUACUGUCUACUACAGUUCUCAUGGGAUCUUCUUGGUGUGUUUGGCCCUCUGGGACAAACACCUGUUCCCUCAAAGCUUUAACUUAAGUGCACUUCUCUCUAACUGGAGUAAUUACACCGUGUUUGAACUGGACUUGCAGUGACCACUUUGAGAAACUUUCGACACAAUCAUGAUUGUCUAUUUGAGCUAUACAUUAGAAUGUAAAGGGGAAGAAAUCCUCAGAGGGGAUCAUCUGCCUUAUUGAUCUAAA